CUGUCCAGUAAAGACCUCUGACAGAUAAGAUGAAUGACUUGAAGGCAAUCCUUGAGCCCUCUAUUUCCAAGAUUUUGAAGGAAGAUUUUCUGGGGCAGAAUUACUGCAAAACUCAAGCUAUAGAAAUAGAGGGAGGACAAUACCGUCCCAUCUCUUGACUCAGAAAGAUGCACAAGAAGAGGAGGAUAUCAUGGAAGCCAAGACUUAGUGAAAGUCAUUCUAGUCCAUGACAAGCUUCAGUGAGCCUCUGGGAAGUUAGUGAAGGCCAAUCCCAGGGGUUUUUGAGAUGAGAAUCCAGAGGAUGUGAGGCCUGCUACACUCCAAUUGAAAAAGGGAUAUUGACAACGUAUGAAGGGAUCUAAGCUUCUUUGAAAUGCUUGGUAUUGAAGCACAUUUCCUUUUGGCACCCUGACUGCCUGUGCUGGGCUGGAUGUUCAGAGGGGUGGCUCCCCUCCACACAUCAUGCAACUGAUGCUACGUGGAGUAAGUGGGUCUCACCAAUCACACAGUGGACUCAAAUAGGGAAUUCCAGUUGUCCAGGAAUCUUAGAAGUGAUUAUGGCCUGGCCCAAAGGCAAAAAUUUCGGAAUAUUGCCAGAAGAGGCUCUGCUAUAUAAUAAACUGCCAGAAAAUAUGCCUUGGUCACGGAUCAGUCCUGUCACAUUGUGAGAAGUCAUCGAAUGUGGAAAGCUACUGUGUGGAGUCCUACACAAUGAACUGCAGAAACUACUGAAGGAGAAGUGAAACCGAAGAAUGGAGGGCUUGUUAAUGCAGUCUGCAUCAACUCUAUGGCUAAUUGCUGCUAGAAUUUUUAUGACUGCUUUGUGGUAAAGAUGGUAUCACUGAGACUUAUUUUGGAUGAAUCAUUCAGAUGAGAGAACAAGAAUGUGAAAUGCUUAUGAGGAAAUCGUGAAGGCAAGAAGAUCUUGACUUCCCCAGUCUUAUGGAAAAUGACAGUAGCAUUCCUUAUGUAUAAAUAUGCACAACAACUUUUGCAGUACACGC
ensembl:lncRNA